rnacentral:rRNA from 1 species
GACGAACGCUGGCGGCGUGCCUAAUACAUGCAAGUUGAGCGCUGAAGGUUGGUACUUGUACCCACUGGAUGAGCAGCGAACGGGUGAGUAACGCGUGGGGAAUCUGCCUUUGAGCGGGGGACAACAUUUGGAAACGAAUGCUAAUACCGCAUAAAAACUUUAAACACAAGUUUUAAGUUUGAAAGAUGCAAUUGCAUCACUCAAAGAUGAUCCCGCGUUGUAUUAGCUAGUUGGUGAGGUAAAGGCUCACCAAGGCGAUGAUACAUAGCCGACCUGAGAGGGUGAUCGGCCACACUGGGACUGAGACACGGCCCAAACUCCUACGGGAGGCAGCAGUAGGGAAUCUUCGGCAAUGGACGAAAGGCUGACCGAGCAACGCCGCGUGAGUGAAGAAGGUUUUCGGAUCGUAAAACUCUGUUGGUAGAGAAGAACGUUGGUGAGAGUGGAAAGCUCAUCAAGUGACGGUAACUAACCAGAAAGGGACGGCUAACUACGUG